rnacentral:rRNA from 1 species
UACGUAGGGUGCAAGCGUUAAUCGGAAUUACUGGGCGUAAAGCGUGCGCAGGCGGUGAUGUAAGACAGAUGUGAAAAUCCCCGGGCUCAACCUGGGAACUGCAUUUGUGACUGCAUCGCUGGAGUGCGGCAGAGGGGGGAUGGAAUUCCGCGUGUAGCAGUGAAAAUGCGUAGAGAUCCGGAGGAACACCAGUGGCGAAGGCGACACGCUGGGCCGUACCUGACACUGAACCGCGACAGCAUGGGGAGCAAACAGG